rnacentral:rRNA from 1 species
AUGGCGUCCGGCGACAGCAAGCCGAGGAGCGAGGAGGAGUGGCGCGCCGUCCUCAACCCCGAGCAGUUCCGCAUCCUCCGCCUCAAGGGCACCGAGUUGCCGGGAACAGGCGAGUACAACAAGUUCUACGGUGAUGGGGCGUACAAGUGCGCUGGCUGCGGAACGCCCCUGUACAAAUCCACCACCAAAUUUGACUCUGGCUGUGGCUGGCCGGCCUUCUUUGAAGGACUUCCUGGAGCCAUACACAGGACGCCUGACCCUGAUGGUAGGAGGGUAGAGAUCACAUGUGCAUCUUGCGGCGGGCAUUUGGGCCAUGUCUUCAAGGGAGAAGGCUUCAAGACGCCUACCGAUGAGCGCCACUGCGUCAACAGCGUUUCCAUCAAGUUUACUCCUGCCUCCUCCUGA